GCUGAGGCGUGAUGACGAGGCACUACGGUGCUGAAGCAACAAAUGCCCUGCUUCCAGGAAAAGCCUCUAAGCAUCAGGUAACAUCAAAUCGUACCCCAAACCGACACAGGUGGUCAGGUAGAGAAUACCAAGGCGCUUGAGAGAACUCGGGUGAAGGAACUAGGCAAAAUGGUGCCGUAACUUCGGGAGAAGGCACGCUGAUAUGUAGGUGAAGUCCCUCGCGGAUGGAGCUGAAAUCAGUCGAAGAUACCAGCUGGCUGCAACUGUUUAUUAAAAACACAGCACUGUGCAAACACGAAAGUGGACGUAUACGGUGUGACGCCUGCCCGGUGC
rnacentral:rRNA from 1 species